UACAGAGGAGCCAAGCGUUGUCCGGAUUGACUGGGCGUAAAGCGCACGCAGGCGGACGCGCGCGUGGGUGUGAAAUCUGGCCGCUUAACGGCCAGGCGCCAUCCCAUACGGCGGGUCUGGAGCCUUGCAGAGGUCGGUGGAAUUGCCGGUGUAGUGGUGAAAUGCGCAGAUAUCAGGAGGAACACCAAUGGCGAAGGCAGCACUCUGGGACGUGACUGACGCUGAGACGCGAAAGCGUGGGGAGCAAACAGG
rnacentral:rRNA from 1 species